ensembl:lncRNA
AGUGAACAUGCAAAAACUGGAUUGCGUCCAGACAUUCUCUUCUAUAGUUUGAUGCACGUAUCUUUGACCCGAUCUACGCACAGUGUGAUAUAGUGAGGCACACCGGAACCACAGUGAAACGCCCAUGAGAUAAUGUAUGGAAUCGGAGAGCUCUGAGUAACGUUCUAAGAAUUUUAGGACAGUCAAACCAGCAAAUGUUUUUGUUUUUUUUGCCUUUUGUGUCGUCAAAGCAAAGCUGAGGUAUUCCUACGGGUGCAAAAGCAAGCGGCAGCAUGGAUAUUGGUGUUAGCAGAAGCAGCUAACAUAAACAUUCCAGUACCCAGUGUUGACCUAUUGACCUCUAAACCCUAGAACGGCAGGGGGCCAGCAGCAGGAGACCACACACACGUGGUGGGAGGAAGAGCGGGGAGGAAGCACAACCUCUUCGGAGCUUCAGAUGCCACCGCUAAUCUGCCCAUCCUCUUAACAUCGGUGCAGUCUUUCCUCCCAGGGAUCGUCACAUGGACACAGUGUCAGAAUGUGGCUUUCACAGCUGAAAAAGUUAUUCCGAAGAAAAGCACAGAUCUCGUUCUCCCCUCAGUUUUGGAUCAACCAGCGGUUUUCUUCAUGAAUCUGGAGAUUGUGUCAUAGAUUCCUUGGGCGAGACUAGAAAUCUCCACAGUUAAAAUAUGUUUUUCCACUGAAUCACAUCUGCCGUCCGCUCACCAGAGGGAAACUAGAUCUUCUGCCUAUUUAUGAGCAAACUUUUUCAAAUCCGAUUAACAACUUUAGUCUUUCUUUUAAAUGAUUGAUUUCAAAAUGAUCUGAUUAUACGGUCAACUUCUGCCAAGAUUCUGUUUCAAUGUGAACACUGAGGACUCGGCUUUGCCAUGAGUGCAGAAACAAUAAUUCCUCCCCUCAUUUUGCAUUCUUUCCUCCCGUCUGUGUGCUGCUCUUCUAACCCCGUCUCACUCUUCCGAGGCGCAAAGCGUCUCCUGCAGCCAUGUGCGUCCCCACGAGGUCUGGCCUGGCCCGCAUUCAGCCAUGACCACAUAGGACGGGGCCGGGGCCUCUACACCCCCCCCUUAAGUCUGCAACUCCCCACUUCCCUUUCGAAGGCCUGUCCAUGGCUGGCUGACGCUUUUCAGGAAGCACAGCACUUAUAUCUUCCCGCACAUAUUGCACUCCUCCACCCACCCGCGCCUCUGUGAAAUCUGGUGGUGAGGAGCAGUGAACCCAGGAGUGAUGGAAGGAGGCUUAUGAUGUUGAUCACACAGCGACAGUGCAUCGUUGCCAACAUAGACUUUGGCGCCAUCCCAACAGAGGCUGCGUGUUCACACAAAGCCAACCUUGUUUGGGAGACACGGCAUGCCAGCUGCGGAGCAAAAUACUUUAAGCUGAUCAGGAAGGGAGAGAUCACAAAGGGUCACAUCCCAUAGGCCAGCUUUAAACUUUGACCUUCGAGUCCUUCUUCAAUUUAAUGUCCCCACUUUCUCGACAUCGCGAGGGAUUCCAGCGCUGCGCAGGAACAGAAGGACAGUCUCACAGAUCUGACAAUAACGAAUUUCAUUCAUUCAGUUAAUCUUUUCCUCAGUAAUCUUAAUUUAUUUUUACAUGUAUACGUUAGGCUUGCAUAGACGUAUUAAAAUAACUGUGUUUGGCCC